UCGAGGAUCUUCGGCAAUGGGCGCAAGCCUGACCGAGCGACGCCGCGUGCGCGAUGAAGGCCUUCGGGUUGUAAAGCGCUGUCGAGGGGAAGGAAAGCCGCAAGGCCUGACCGACCCCUGGAGGAAGCACGGGCUAAGUUCGUGCCAGCAGCCGCGGUAAGACGAACCGUGCGAACGUUGUUCGGAUUCACUGGGCUUAAAGGGCGCGUAGGCGGCCGUCCAAGUCCGGGGUGAAAUCUUUCGGCUCAACCGGAAAACAGCCUCGGAUACUGGGCGGCUCGAGGGGGGUAGGGGCAUGUGGAACUUCCGGUGGAGCGGUGAAAUGCGUAGAUAUCGGAAGGAACGCCGGUGGCGAAAGCGACGUGCUGGGCCCUUCCUGACGCUGAGGCGCGAAAGCCAGGGGAGCAAACGGGAUUAGAUACCCCCGUAGUCC
rnacentral:rRNA from 1 species